GACGAACGCUGGCGGCGUGCCUAAUACAUGCAAGUCGAGCGGACUUUCAAGAAGCUUGCUUUUUGAAAGUUAGCGGCGGACGGGUGAGUAACACGUGGGCAACCUGCCUGCAAGACGGGGAUAACUCCGGGAAACCGGGGCUAAUACCGGAUAAUAUCUUCCUUCGCAUGAAGGAAGGUUGAAAGGCGGCGCAAGCUGCCGCUUGCAGAUGGGCCCGCGGCGCAUUAGCUAGUUGGUGAGGUAACGGCUCACCAAGGCGACGAUGCGUAGCCGACCUGAGAGGAUGAUCGGCCACACUGGGACUGAGACACGGCCCAGACUCCUACGGGAGGCAGCAGUAGGGAAUCUUCCGCAAUGGACGAAAGUCUGACGGAGCAACGCCGCGUGAGUGAAGAAGGUCUUCGGAUCGUAAAGCUCUGUUGUCAGGGAAGAACAAGUACCGUUCGAACAGGGCGGUACCUUGACGGUACCUGAACAGAAAGCCACGGCUAACUACGUG
rnacentral:rRNA from 1 species